UGAGGAAUAUUGGUCAAUGGGCGCGAGCCUGAACCAGCCAAGUAGCGUGAAGGAUGACUGCCCUAUGGGUUGUAAACUUCUUUUAUAAAGGAAUAAAGUCGGGUAUGUAUACCC
rnacentral:rRNA from 1 species